rnacentral:misc_RNA from 1 species
UCAAACUUGGUCAUUUAGAGGAAGUAAAAGUCGUAACAAGGUCUCCGUUGGUGAACCAGCGGAGGGAUCAUUACUGAGUUGACCCUAACUCUUCAAACCCAUGUGAACUUACCACUUUGUUGCCUCGGCGGCAGAAAGGUUCAGGGGCGAGCUGCUUUCCUCCGGGGGAGUCUCUCGCUUCUGGGCUGGGCCGCCGGUGGACCACUAAACUCUGUUAUACUUGAAUCUCUGAGCAAACUAUAAUAAAUCAAAACUUUCAACAACGGAUCUCUUGGUUCUGGCAUCGAUGAAGAACGCAGC